rnacentral:rRNA from 1 species
UACGUAGGGGGCAAGCGUUGUCCGGAAUUAUUGGGCGUAAAGAGCGUGUAGGCGGUCCGGUAAGUCAGCUGUGAAAGUCAAGGGCUCAACCCUUGAAUGCCGGUUGAUACUGUCGGGCUAGAGUCCGGAAGAGGCGAGUGGAAUUCCCGGUGUAGGCGGUGAAAUGCGCAGAUAUCGGGAGGAACACCAAUGGCGAAGGCAGCUCGCUGGGACGGUACUGACGCUGAGACGCGAAAGCGUGGGGAGCAAACAGG